CCCCAGACUCCUACGGGAGGCAGCAGUGGGGAAUAUUGCACAAUGGGGGAAACCCUGAUGCAGCGACGCCGCGUGAGUGAAGAAGUAUUUCGGUAUGUAAAGCUCUCUCAGCAGGGAAGAAAAUGACGGUACCUGACUAAGAAGCCCCGGCUAACUACGUGCCAGCAGCCGCGGUAAUACGUAGGGGGCAAGCGUUAUCCGGAUUUACUGGGUGUAAAGGGAGCGUAGACGGCAUGGCAAGUCAGAUGUGAAAGCCCGGGGCUCAACCCCGGGACUGCAUUUGAAACUGUCAGGCUAGAGUGCAGGAGAGGUAAGUGGAAUUCCUAGUGUGGCGGUGAAAUGCGUAGAUAUUAGGAGGAACACCAGUGGCGAAGGCGGCUUACUGGACUGUAACUGACGUUGAGGCUCGAAAGCGUGGGGAGCAAACAGGAUUAGAUACCCGUGUA
rnacentral:rRNA from 1 species